rnacentral:lncRNA from 7 species
CGUGCUGGGCAGGGGCUGGAGGUGCAGCAUCGCCAGGAUCCUGCGGCAGUACCGCGCCGUCAUCUUCCACGAGAUCCAGAACCUGAAAAACCUGAGUGGGGCGGCAGAGAGGAGCAGUCGGGCCGGGCCGGUGUGCCGCUCUGACAAGGUGAGCUCCAGGGCUGGGGCACGUCGUGGGUGGGCUGAGCCAUCGAGCCCCAUCCCUGCCUGCUCUCCCUUCUCCCUCCCAGGACCAGAGGAUCCUGCAGUCCAUCUACAACAUCAGCAUGUCGCUGCGGGACGCGGCGGGCGGUGCUCUGCGGGGCCCCGAGGAGGCAGCGGUGUGGAAGGUGGUCCGGGACACUGAGUUUGUGCUCAGGGAGAACUGCCGGCGCAUCGGCAAGCAGAGCCCCCCGCGGCCCUCACCGCAGCCGCACCGCAGGAGGCAGCAGCUGAAGGAGGUCUCACGGAAGGCACAGAGGCUGGCCACGUGCUGGGAGAAGCUCAACGUGCUGCACGUGGCCCACCGGGACUCAUAGGGGACGCCCCGACACCUCGUCCUGCAUCUGGGGGCAGCGCAGAGCCCUGUGCUUUGGGUUCAUGGCUGCCGGCAUCCUGCAUCAAACUCUGGGGUGAACGGAACCUCACAGCUGGCUCAGCAGAUACGGGCAGGUGCCCGGGUUGAGUUCGUCCUCCUGGCCCAUAUGGUACCCGGGGACCAUCGUGGAGUCACAACCUGAAACCUGGGGAGGAAGAAGGGGUGAAGUGCAGAAAAUGGGGAUGCGGUGAUUUCUGUGCUGCUCCUCGCCCUGCAUCCCCUCCCCCUGCUGCCCUCCGGGGGCACCAACUGCUCUCCUGGGCAGAAAGAGGACAAUGCGACCCACGGGGCUGAGGGUUUCUGCUGGCACCGCAGUGCUGCGUAGCUGUGGGCAGAGGGAUGUGCAUCCUCAGUGCGUGUGGCUCUGGGACUGGGAGAGCCGCCCUGGGCCCCCAGCUGUGUGAUGGGGAUAGGGGGGAGCAAUGGGAUAAACAGCUGGGGAACGGAGGGUCGGUAUGAGCACGGCUGGGAGGGACCCUGAGGGGUGAGUGCAGCCCUAAGGGCUGUGCCCCCUCCCUUGGUUGGGGUGUGGGCUGUGCGAGCCCAGAAAUAAAUCCUCUCCUGGCUCU